UUAGGUCGGGAACUCAAAGGAGACUGCCAGUGAUAAACUGGAGGAAGGUGGGGAUGACGUCAAGUCAUCAUGGCCCUUACGAGUAGGGCUACACACGUGCUACAAUGGCAUAUACAAAGAGAAGCGACCUCGCGAGAGCAAGCGGACCUCAUAAAGUAUGUCGUAGUCCGGAUUGGAGUCUGCAACUCGACUCCAUGAAGUCGGAAUCGCUAGUAAUCGUGGAUCAGAAUGCCACGGUGAAUACGUUCCCGGGCCUUGUACACACCGCCCGUCACACCAUGGGAGUGGGUUGCAAAAGAAGUAGGUAGCUUAACCUUCGGGAGGGCGCUUACCACUUUGUGAUUCAUGACUGGGGUGAAGUCGUAACAAGGUAACCGUAGGGGAACCUGCGGUUGGAUC
rnacentral:rRNA from 1 species